GAUGAAGAACGUAGCGAAAUGCGAUAAGUAAUGUGAAUUGCAGAAUUCAGUGAAUCAUCGAAUCUUUGAACGCACAUUGCGCCCCUUGGUAUUCCGAGGGGCAUGCCCGUUCGAGCGUCAUUAUACCCCUCAAGCCUAGCUUGGUGUUGGGGCCUGCUGUUACCGGCAGCCCUUAAAAUCAGUGGCGGUGCCAUCUGGCUCUAAGCGUAGUAAUACUUCUCGCUACAGGGUCCCGGUGGAUGCUUGCCAUCAACCCCUAAUUUUCUAUGGUUGACCUCGGAUCGGGUAGGGAUACCCGCUGAACUUAAGCAUAUCAAUAACGGAGA
rnacentral:misc_RNA from 1 species